rnacentral:rRNA from 1 species
UACGUAGGUGGCAAGCGUUGUCCGGAUUUAUUGGGUUUAAAGGGUGCGUAGGCGGUUCUAUAAGUCAGGGGUGAAAUCCGGCAGCUCAACUGUCGAUGUGCCAUUGAUACUGCAGAACUUGAGUACAGAAGAGGUAGGCGGAAUUGACGGUGUAGCGGUGAAAUGCUUAGAUAUCGUCAAGAACACCGAUAGCGAAGGCAGCUUACUAGACUGUAACUGACGCUGAUGCACGAAAGUGUGGGGAUCAAACAGG